GAGGAAGGCAGCAGCGAUGAGCUGGAAGCUGUCGUUGU
rnacentral:SRP_RNA from 13 species